AUGCAUUUGUGUGUUGACAGUCGUAGGAGUUUUGAUCGACGUAGCAAUAGUAACUAAGCAAGGGGGCUUUGCGAACGUGCGCUGGGACAGCUGAUUCGCCAAACAGGCUCGCAGUCUGUGUUCUACCACAGUCCCCAACGUUAUUCUCAUAUCUCUCAUGAUUCAUUUUUUUUUUUCUAAAGAUGAGUUGAUUUUGUAACGAGUAACGAAGGUUUCAAGGGAAAUGUAGCGGAGUAAAAGUAUCCGUUUUCUUCGCAAAAUGUAGCGAAGUAAAAGUAAAAGUACAGAGAAAUAUAAGUAGUAAAGUAAAGUACAAAUAUCCAAAAAAACUACUUAAGUACAGUAACGAAGUAUUUCUACUUCGCUACUAUACAACACUGUAACUAGUAAUAUAAAGAUUUCUUCGUUGACCGAGCCCAUUAUUCCCUACUGCUAUUACCAAAGCAAAUCCACAUACACAAAUGCACGCUUAAGAGAAAUUUAUUCUCUGUUCAGUUUCAAUUACAAAGUUUUCAGGUAUAGUGUGUGUGUGUGUGUGUGUCCGGUAAAAACAUUCUUCAGUUACACUUGGACUUGAACAAUCACCCCUGCUUGGUUGCAAAAAACUUGAAUUUGAACUUCAACAAAAUGGCUAAGUUUUCAGGUAUAACGUGUAUGUGUGUGUGUGUGUGUAACAGGUAAAAACAUUCUGGAUUUACAUUUAGACUUGAACAGUGUGUUUUCAGGUAUAACGUGUAUGUGUGUGCGUGUGUAACAGGUAAAAACAUUCUGGAUUUACACUUAGACUUGAACAGUGUGUUUUCAGGUAUAACGUGUAUGUGUGUGCGUGUGUAACAGGUAAAAAAAUUCUGCAAUUACACUUAGACUUGAACAGUGUGUGUGUGUGUGUCUGGUAAAAACAUUCUGCAGUUACACUUAGACUUGAACAGUGUGUGCGGGGGCGUGUGCGCGCGCGUGUGUGUGUCUGGUAAAAACAUCCUGCAGUUACACUUGGACUUCAACAAUCACCCCUGCUUGGUUGCAAAAAACUUGAAUUUGAACUUCAACAAAAUGGCUACGUUUUCAACGUGUAUGUGUGUGCGUGUGUAACAGGUAUAAACAUUCUGCAAUUACACUUAGACUUGAACAGUGUGUGUGUGUGUGUGUGACAGAUAAAAACAAUUAUGUGAACUUUUCAAAUUUCACAGCUGCUAGUCAGAGCUGAAUCCAAGAGGGAAAACCAGUUUUUCUUGUUUAGACAAGACAAAGCUUCUUCUUGAGAGAUCGCACACGGUUAGAGCAUUUUGGGCCAGUCUC
ensembl:lncRNA